CCUACGGGGGGCUGCAGUAAGGAAUAUUGGUCAAUGGACGAAAGUCUGAACCAGCCAUCCCGCGUGCAGGAUGAAGGUCCUAUGGAUUGUAAACUGCUUUUAGCAGAGAAGAAAAGCAUUCAUUUAUGAGUGUCUGACGGUAUCUGCGGAAUAAGCACCGGCUAACUCCGUGCCAGCAGCCGCGGUAAUACGGAGGGUGCAAGCGUUAUCCGGAAUCACUGGGUUUAAAGGGUGCGUAGGCGGAAUAUUAAGUCAGUGGUGAAAGCCUGUCGCUUAACGAUAGAACUGCCAUUGAUACUGAUAUUCUUGAAUUGGGUUGAGGUUAGCGGAAUGUGACAUGUAGCGGUGAAAUGCAUAGAUAUGUCAUGGAACACCAAUUGCGAAGGCAGCUAGCUGGGCCUUGAUUGACGCUGAGGCACGAAAGCGUGGGUAGCGAACAGGAUUAGAUACCCCGGUAGUC
rnacentral:rRNA from 1 species